rnacentral:rRNA from 1 species
AACGAACGCUGGCGGCAGGCUUAACACAUGCAAGUCGAACGCACCUUUCGGGGUGAGUGGCAGACGGGUGAGUAACGCGUGGGAAUCUACCCUUCUCUACGGGAUAGCUCCGGGAAACUGGAAUUAAUACCGUAUACGUCCUGAGGGAGAAAGAUUUAUCGGGGAAGGAUGAGCCCGCGUUGGAUUAGCUAGUUGGUGGGGUAAAGGCCUACCAAGGCGACGAUCCAUAGCUGGUCUAAGAGGAUGAUCAGCCACAUUGGGACUGAGACACGGCCCAAACUCCUACGGGAGGCAGCAGUGGGGAAUAUUGGACAAUGGACGCAAGCCUGAUCCAGCCAUGCCGCGUGAGUGAUGAAGGCCCUAGGGUUGUAAAGCUCUUUCAGUGGGGACGAUAAUGACGGUACCCACAGAAGAAGCCCCGGCUAACUUCGUG